rnacentral:rRNA from 2 species
UACGGAGGGUGCAAGCGUUGUCCGGAUUUAUUGGGUUUAAAGGGUGCGUAGGCGGCCCGUUAAGUCAGUGGUGAAAGCCUCCAGCUCAACUGGAGAACUGCCAUUGAUACUGGCGGGCUUGAGUACAGACGAGGUAGGCGGAAUUGAUUGUGUAGCGGUGAAAUGCAUAGAUACAAUCAAGAACACCGAUUGCGUAGGCAGCUUACUAGGCUGUAACUGACGCUGAGGCACGAAAGCGUGGGGAGCGAACAGG